GCGCAAUAACAGGAUCUGUAUGCACUGAACUCUGCCGUGUCCAAUUGAUGUGACAACCCUGCUAUCUCCUCCGACACCGAGUUCACAUCCAGCAAGAAAGCACUGUGUGGAGUGCAAGGAAUUAGCAUAAGAUGCCCAGGGGAUAUACACAGGGCAACGCCAACAUGUGCGCCCUCCUCCAUCAUGACCCACCGAAACAGCAGGAAUGGGAAUGGAAUUCCAAACAUGUCCCAACACCAAAGAAACACUCAGGAGGGGGCACAAAACAUAAAGGACGACUUUGUGUCCUUUUGUGUCCAGUCCCUUUGGUUUCCCUCUUGUAAUUUCUGCAAGCCUGACCAAAUAUUUGUCAACCAGACACCAAAAAAUCCCAACAAGACAGAACAAAGCCGUCAAGCUUUCUGGACAAGUUGUUUUAGCACGUAUUGUCAUUCCUUUUUGCUGUUAUGAGGUUAAAGGUCAGGAGGUCACUUGGCUUCAAGCAGCAUAGCAAAUCACACUUUUGUUUAGAGAAUAAGAUUUUUUUUUUUUUUUUAAUGGCAAUAAUGUAACAGGAACUAAAAUCCUCUUAUGUAUUCCAUCACCAUCCCCUGUACACUUUGCUGAAUGCUUAAUAAAGCAAGCGGGCGGCUUUUUAGAAUGCAGUCAGGUAGGCGGUGUAUCUCAAAGUUUAAGAAAACAAACAGGGUUUUGUUUACAGCACGCAGCAAACGAGAUCGGCUUCUCAUUGAAAUCCGCUUGGCAUUUGCUGAUAGCGAGGACAAAUUGGGACAUGUAAAUGUAAGUGAGUGUAGCAGAGAGGGAAAUAUAAUUACAUAUUGAUACCCGGCAGAUGUGUAGGUGCCCAGCAAUUUCAGCAGCAGGUGAAAUAUUCAAAAUACCGUAGUCAGCUAUUCCUGUGGAACUUUAUCAAGGAAGAAUUCUGUAUUUAAAUCAAUGUGCAUACGGACAUGCGCACACAAUUUAUAAUUUAUGAUUUUAUAUGCUCAAACACUCAGAGAGAGAGAACUAAAAUAUUGUGGGGAUGUAACCACAUAUGACUAUUUGAUUCAGAAUGAACAGAUCAUGUGUUCUAAACAGAUACAGCUGUUAUAGAUUUUUUAAAGAAUGCUUGCCAGAAAGGUUCAUCUGGUACUAGAGAACGGUCUGGGUGGUACAAAAAAUUUGGCGGAAUCAUUUGACCUUUCUUAAUGGGUUGAUGGCCUUACUCAUAUAUUGGGUGACACAAUUGACUUGGUUUUAACAUAUGGGAUAUCUGUUUCUGAUACAACAAUCCAUCCAUCCAUCCAUCCAUCUUCUACCGCUUACUCCUUUUCAGGGUCGCGGGGGAACCUGGAGCCUAUCCCAGGGAGCAUUGGGCACAAGGCAGGGUACACCCUGGACAGGGUGCCAGUGAUACAACAAUCUGUGAACUUAAUUUUUCUGACCCCAACCCAUGUCUUUUCUCUGUUCCCCUAGUUUCCCGGGUUUAACCAUCUCACUGUCCUGUGCGGUGGUCCCGGGCUUUAAAUUCUACCUCUAUUACAAACUUUGCUCAGAUGUAUAAAAAAUAUUAGUGAUCUUGAACUAUUAGAAAGUUCUCUCUCAAACAUCUUCAUGGACAUUACAUUUGUUUUAGUUCUACUUGCAUUAGCCUUUUAGAUUCUGCUGCCCCAUUUAAACCUAAAUGCCUUAAAGAAAAAACUGAACCAUGGUUAAAUGAGACUUUACACACUUUUAGACGGCUAUGCAGACAGGCUGAGCGAAGGUGGAGAAAGUACAGGCUUCAGGUGUACUACGAAGCUCUGAGAGAUGCGUUGGCACAUUUUCAAAAGGCAGCUAAGAAUGCCAAGUAUCUAUAUUACUUAAACAUCAUAGAUAAAUAUAGGCAUAAGCUGAAGUUACUUUUUUCUACGAUUGAUUCAGACUUAAAUCCCUCUUCUAAAGCUGUACUCUCCUCCAUGAAUGAUGAGGUCUUUCUUAGAUUUUUUUCAAAAAUAAUAUAGCAAAUCAGAGGCCACAGACAUCACAGACUGACAUUAAUCAGUUUACAUCUUCUCCUUGCUUAUCUGCAUGGCAUAAAUUUGAGCUUAUUUCGAUUUCCUCUCUAUGCAAAAUCAUUGCCCAUCUCAAGCCUACAUUUUGUUCACUGGAUAUUAUUCCACCAGGACCAAGUUUACUCUCUAUUGUAAAUAAAUCACUCAAUCUGGGGACUUUUUCAGGUGACCUUAAACAUGCUCUGGUAGUUCCCUCUCUUAAGAAACCAAAUCUUGACUCUGCUAUGCUUGAAAAGUAUAGGCCCAUUUCUAAUUUAGCUUUAAUUUUGAAAGUUCUUGAAAAAGUUGUUUUAUGUCAACUUCAUUCUUAUCUUAAUAUAAAUUCUAUCUAUGAGAGGUUUCAGUCUGGCUUCAGAGCACUCCAUAAUACUGAGUUUGCUUUACUAAAGGUGCUCAAUGACAUUUAUUUCAGAACUGAUGUUGGUGACUGUUAUUUUGGUGCUCUUAGACCUUAGUUCUGCAUUCGACAUGGUGGAUCGUGAGAUCCUUAUUUCUCGAAUUGAACAUGAUGUGAGGUUGAAAGGAACUGUAUUAAACUGGAUCAGCUCCUUUCUGAAAGAUCGUAAAUUCUCUGUCAGUUUUGUAUGGGGUUAGAAUUGUUCCAUAUUUCCAAAUAAAUAGAUUACGAUCCACAAUUAUACGUUAGGAGUUUCACAAAAAUGGCUUAAAUUCACAAAUAAAUAAAAUAAGAUUUACGAAU
ensembl:lncRNA